ensembl:lncRNA SLC8A1-AS1 SLC8A1 antisense RNA 1
AAUCAUCAGGUGGUGAAGCCAGCCUGACUUGUGUCCUUCCCUUCAUGGUGGUAAUUAUCCAGUUGAUAUUUAUCUUGUUCCAGUCACCUUUAGAAAGCUGUUUGUUCAUUUCAGGUGGCCCUGUUCCUUUCACUCAGAAACUUUGAAGCAGGUUCUUACCAAAUGCUCUUUACUGUAUCAGGAGAACAAAGAUUGAAGAAGGUAUGGGCAGUUUGUGAAUCCAGACUCCUGGAUUUGUGCUGCUUUGUGCAUUCAUGAUCACACAUUCACACAGCCCAAUCAACUAUCACAGAGACUGGAAAAUCUCAAGACCUGAAGAUACUACCUUUGAUCAAACUGUGACAAUAUUUAUGGAAUUAAACUACAUGGCACAGUCAUUUACCUUUUAAAAUUAGGUGUCCAAGAGAGAAUCCAAGGGGUGCUGACAAGGUCUAGAUAACUGAUACAUUUGACAACGGACAGAGUGUCCAAGGAAAAUAUCAAGAAGCUUCAUCAUGUUCAACUCCGACUGUGACUACACAAUGCUCUCAAAUCUCCAGGCAGCCUCUAUUGAUUGAUCUGAGUUGGCAGAUGAGUUGGCAGGUUUUGGAAAUCACUAGUGGGUAAAAAAGACCAAUUUGCAACUAGGCUCUCAUGCUCUGUUGAAAACUAUGUCACAAUAUCACAAUACUAGAUGCUGGGCUCAAGACAGCAAACAGAAAGCAGCAAGGGCAGUGACUGGAAGCUGGGAGAGAGGGUCAACAGCUGAAUCUCAGCCUGAUGGAGGCCAC